AGUGAACGCUGGCGGCAGGCCUAACACAUGCAAGUCGAACGGCAGCACAGAGGAGCUUGCUCCUUGGGUGGCGAGUGGCGGACGGGUGAGGAAUACGUCGGAAUCUGCCUAUUUGUGGGGGAUAACGUAGGGAAACUUACGCUAAUACCGCAUACGACCUUAGGGUGAAAGCGGAGGACCUUCGGGCUUCGCGCAGAUAGAUGAGCCGACGUCGGAUUAGCUAGUGG
rnacentral:rRNA from 1 species